rnacentral:rRNA from 1 species
UACGUAGGGUGCAAGCGUUGUCCGGAAUUAUUGGGCGUAAAGGGCUCGUAGGCGGUUUGUCGCGUCGGGAGUGAAAACUCAGGGCUUAACCCUGAGCCUGCUUCCGAUACGGGCAGACUAGAGGUAUGCAGGGGAGAAUGGAAUUCCUGGUGUAGCGGUGGAAUGCGCAGAUAUCAGGAGGAACACCAAUAGCGAAGGCAGCUCGCUGGGACGGUAUUGACGCUAAGGCGCGAAAGCGUGGGGAGCAAACAGG